UACGUAGGGUGCAAGCGUUAAUCGGAAUUACUGGGCGUAAAGCGUGCGCAGGCGGUGGUGUAAGACAGUUGGGAAAUCCCCGGGCUCAACCUGGGAACUGCAUCUGUGACUGCAUCGCUGGAGUGCGGCAGAGGGGGAUGGAAUUCCGCGUAUAGCAGUGAAAUGCGUAGAUAUGCGGAGGAACACCGAUGGCGAAGGCAAUCCCCUGGGCCUGCACUGACGCUCAUGCACGAAAGCGUGGGGAGCAAACAGG
rnacentral:rRNA from 1 species